GUCAAGAAACCUCAAUUCAAAUCCUGCCAUAAACACUUGCCAGCUGUGUGAUAAUGGCUACUGCAGAAUGUAAUUAGCCAAGACAACAACCCUUCCUUGCUACCACCAUCUCAUAGUGACCAACAGAACUCUUCCUACAUCUUCCGGGUGCUCUUUCCAUGCAGUAGAGAACUGUGGCAACAAUGUUCCAGGGAGGUUGGGCAGCCUGGAGGGGUGUAUGGGGGAACAGGCAGGGAAGCUGCAGUUAGUUGAUGUCAAUAGUCCUGACCAUCUUCCCGACCGAGAGGCUUCCUGGAGAGAGCGGAUUAAAAAGACAAAUGACUGAGCUCUUAAGAUUGAUGCACGUUUGAUGUUGGCCCCUUCUUCUCUACCUACAGUCGGAGGUAUUUUGGGUAUUUUUAACCCCAGAGGAAGUCUGGUGAAGUCUGUGGAAUCCUUCUCCAAAUAAUACAGUUUUAAAUGUACAGAAUAAAAUAUUGAAAGAAACCAAUUA